UAGGGAAUAUUGGGCAAUGGAGGCAACUCUGACCCAGCCAUGCCGCGUGCAGGAAGAAGGCCUUAUGGGUUGUAAACUGCUUUUGAUUGGGAACAAACAGGGGAUGCGUCCCCGACUGAGUGUACCAAUAGAAUAAGCACCGGCUAACUCCGUGCCAGCAGCCGCGGUAAUACGGAGGGUGCAAGCGUUGUCCGGAUUUAUUGGGUUUAAAGGGUGCGUAGGCGGCUUUUUAAGUCAGUGGUGAAAGCCAACAGCUCAACUGUUGAACUGCCAUUGAUACUGGAAGGCUUGAGUACAUACGAGGUAGGCGGAAUUGAUGAUGUAGCGGUGAAAUGCAUAGAUAUCAUCAAGAACACCGAUUGCGAAGGCAGCUUACUGGAUUGUAACUGACGCUGAGGCA
rnacentral:rRNA from 1 species